ensembl:lncRNA
GGCAGACAGUUCAGGGAGCACUGGGAAAUGAGCAGUAAAUACAUCUCCUGUCAAUAAAUAAAUAAAUAAACAAAUAAGCAGCUGCAAGUCCAUCAACUUUCUGUUACGUAACAUUAUUUUCAACAACAAUAAUACACCUACAUUUCUAUCAUGUCUUUCAUUCCAAAUGAAAUUUUACCACCAUAGUGUUUCAGGAACAUGUGCAUUUUUGUGUAGUUAUACAUGAUUUGACAAGAAAAAUAUCCCUUUCAGUGGAGCCUGACAGAAAAAUGAAAUUUCAAGGAAAUAAAACAUCUUGUAACUCAAUUAGAGGUUUAAAAAAAAAAAAAAAAGAAAGAAAAGAAAAGGAAAAAAAAAAAGAAAAAGCCCACAAGAACUUUUCAAAGAGAGAAAUACUUUCAUUUCUUCAGAACAAGACAGCCAUUUUAGGAUUUUCCAGUACUUUGUUUUCCUUUCUUCCCUCCCUCCCUCCUUCCUUCCCUUCUUUCCUUCCUCCCUCCCUCUCUCCCUCCUUCCCUCCCUUCCUCUCUCCCCCCUUCCCUCCUUUCUUCCCUCUUUUUCUUCUUCCCUCCCUUUCUCUUCCUUUUGCUUUCUCUCUUCCUUAUUUCCUUUCUUUCCUUCUUUUUUAGAAGAAACAGAAGCACCUAGAAGUAUUCAAGCCCCUAGAGGAUAUAAAAGACCAUAAAUAGUAGCAUGUGAUAUUUCCUUGGGUGGAGAAUAAUUCUAACACAACACAUUCCUUUUGCAAGUUAGGGUAUGCCCCUGCUGCAGCACCAGGAUAGGUCCUGGGGUGGUUAAUCCAGGCCAAUAUCCCACUUCCAUGGCAGUGCUUCUCCUCUGGCCCCCACAUCUGGUGUCUGGACCACCCCAGGCAUGCUGUGGUGUGAGCUGCAGACAGAAGAUGCUCUGAACAUUCCCACGUUUCUUCUGGAGCUGCCUGGAAUGGACUACAGCUCCUCAUGAGUCCUUAUUAGGAUCAAGGCACGAGAUGGCAAGUGUGCUUCUGCAUGUAAAGCAUCCCAUGUUGUGAAAAGCUUCAUCCCAUUGAUGAAAGGGACUUUGGGAUGCCCACAGUUGAAACAGUCUGAAUCAGUUAGACAUGGGAGUAUCAACUGAAAAUUUGUAUUUUCAAAAGAAUUGGAAUGGCGACCACUAUGAAGACAGAGAGUGUAUGGGAACUGUUGAAUCACGGCCCGAACCUCUGAUUGAUCAGCCAAGGUGAGCACUGAGUCAGCCGCAGGAGCACAGGUGAAGGCAAUUCACCUGUGUGACUGGAAGGGAUGGAGCCUGGCUGCACCUCUCCCAGACUCCAUUUAAGGGCUGACUGCCACUGAGGAAGGAUCGCUUUCUGGAGGUUGCUCCUCUUGGAGUUUUUAUUUGUGAGCCUAUGACACAGACCUGGUGUUGACUCGUGAAGCCUGUGGAGAAACCAUUAAAUAGAUGUCAGACUGCUGGAACAUGUCUCUUCAGUGUCCUACCACAGAUCUGAAAGCGCACUGCCAAGAAGCUGCCUUGGUAAGGAUGAGUAGAUGACAGGUUCAUAUUUCACCUCUUCUCUCAUUCUUUAGGUAUAUAUGUGCUCCCUGUGGCUUCACAGCCUUCAACAAGGAGUGAAACCUCAGGUGGGCGGUACAGGUCCACCUGCAGCCCCCAUUUGGCCUGGCAAGGGGCUGCUCCUUCCUAACAAGAAUGAGAACCAGGUGUCUGCCAGGCACAGCAGCACCUGAGAUUGAAAAGCAUUAAAUAUUUUGUUGUUUUGUUUCUUUUUCUUUUUCUUUUUCUUUUUUUUUUACUAAAAAUCCUCUGUGAAAUUAGAAGCCACUUUUUCUGAUUGAUUGUUUGUUUGUUUUCAAGUACCUGAGACUGAAAUGCAGCUAACAGUCAUUCUUAGUAUGGCUUGUAUUAUGAAACAACAAAUUAUUUUAAUUGCUCUAGCAAUUCCCUUCCCAUUGCUGUAAACAAAACGAUUUCAAGCAGCAGCAGCAGCUGUCUGAAUCAUGUUGUACUUGAUAGAAGAGCUCCUCUCUCUGCUCAGGGCUGGUGCAGAGGCUGUCUGAAGCCAGCCAAGGGAUGCUGCUGAGGUAGGGACCAACUUCCUGGUCCUUUACUUUACUCUCUCCUCGCCUGGCUCUCUUUAUACAGACUCACCUUCACCCCUUCACAAUGGCAUAUAUUUGUGAACUGUUUCAAUGCUUUGUAUUUGGAAACGGUUUUAGGAAUGGGAAAAGCAAGAGAGCUGUGCUGGAAAAACACAGAGACCCCUGCUCUGUCUGAAUUAUUUAUAGAUUAAAAUACUUUUCUGAGGUUUGGAGAUUUUUUUUUUCCUUGAGCAAGUUCAAGAGAAAGCAGACUGUGUCCAAAGGAGUUGGAACAAAAUAUAGUUUCAUGGGAAAAUCCUGUGGAUUUUCUCUUCAGAUGUGCUGAUCUAUAGAUUGAUGCACUCAAGGCAUAACACAAGCAUUAUGAAAACACAGCCCCAGCACUGCAGAACUGGCAAAGCUUCCUCUGUUAUUGUUGACUUGGAGCUAACAACUUGGAAAUUAUUGAUGUAAAUGCUUUAUUAUCGAUUGCACAAUUAAGGCAUGAGUGGAGAAAGGAACCUGCAGCCAGCUAUGGUGUUCGGCUUCAUGUUUUAUGACUCAGAAGCACAUUAUUUAUCUCUGUGUUGCUGCUGGAUGAAACUGAAGAGUGUUUUUAGACAUCAUUUCCCAAAGAUUUUGUCCCUUAACAAGUAAAAUGCUUCGGAUGAAUAUCCAGUCUUAAGCCAGUAGCGCUAUUACAUGGGGACUGCACUUAUGCUUUCAUCUUCUGAAUGUUUACUCAUAAUGCUGUAGUUAACUAAAUACCUCUUUCUCCAUGAGCCUAAGAAGUCUGCGUCGUUGAUAAACAAGUUCUUUUGCUGAGCCUUUGAAAGCUCCUCCAUGUAAUUAAUGUUCAGGUAAAAAUGUAAGAGAUAAAGAAGAAUUUUUCCAGACACUUCAGGGUUCAGAGAUGAUAACACUAAGACUGUUCUUCCAUCCAUGAUAAUUUUUGUGGGCUACACUCUGACCAGUAUAUAGCUUAAGUUGUGUGAAAACAAACAGGUGUUAUUUAAAAGAUGUAGUAAGGUUUCUACAAAGCUGGAGGAGUAUCUGUUUCUCUUUCUACAUCUCCUGUAGUGUGAGUGGAAUUGCAAAUUUGUAGAGGAGACUAUGGUCAAAAUUUGGGCACAAAUCCAAGAAAUCCUUUGUGUCAACUGGUACAGGCGGUUUUUAGUUAUGUAAACAAAUAGACACUUUGGAAUCAAUUUGUAUAGUGAAUGACAUUGCAAAACUAAGGUGCUUCUCAAAUAUACGUAGUGAGUUGAUUCUGAUGACAGCAAGACUACAGUCUUCCUUGAUGCAAGGGAAAACAAUACAGAGAACAUUUGGGAAAGAAUGGAAGGUAGAUUCAAUGAUAAUUGUUUUCUACUAAAAUAAGAUAUGGAAGUGAAUGUAAAUUUUUUUUCUGUGCCAAAUUUUAUUGCCAAUGCUAAAUAAGCUGGAACUGUGAAAACUAAAACCUCUUUCAAAGAUAACUCAAUUAAUUUGUAGUACUUACUGUUGCUGAUUGUAGCAGCAGUUUCACUUUGGACCUAACACUGAUUUACUGUGGUGGCUGCAUUUGUUCAGCUGAGAUAAAGCAGAAGAGACAUUGUUUGUAAUAACUUCGUCCAUUAAACUCAUAGCCUGUACUGUGUACCACAGAUGAGCGUCCAAUAGUCUACAUAGUUCGGAUUACUAAACGAUUCAGACACCAGUCUGGGCUUUGUCCCAUAAUCAAUAAUCAUCCAUCCUUCAUUUUUAUUGCUAUCUAAGCAUAACUACUAAAUAGAUCUGGUGAGAGAUGUUUACCACUGCCACCACUAAAAUAUGUCCAACAUCCUGCCCAUGAUACAGCAACACUCUUUUUUUCUUUCAAAACAUUUUCAAAGAGAUUUGCUAUAUUGAUGAAGUAGAUUUGCCUUUAAAAGCCAGAAAACUAUGUUGGGAAACCUCAUGCAGCUAGUUUAGAGAACAUCUUUUUACUUAGUUAUUUUCUGAUUGCAUAUACGUUGCAGCCAAAAAGCUGAACUGUAGAUCUGAAUACGUACAGGCUUUGUAGGUUAUGAUCUGAAUUCAAGUUUGGAUCAGAAUGUGAAUUUUGCAAAUCUUUUUUUGUUUCUGUAUGAAAAAACUCUGAAGCCAAGAAUACUCAUAUUUUAAACACUACAAAUUACAUGGGAUAAGCCCAUUACUAAGCAAAACCAGAAUUUACAAUCUAUUACAUGGAGAACUGAAGAUUCUCUUAUUAUUGGCAUUGUAGGUAUUAAUUUGGGUUAAUUAUUCUAUCAUUAUUACAUUUGUUUUAAAUUAUUAGCUUUUACUUUCUGUUUUUCAUUUGUUUGCUUACCUGUGCUGAUUCAAAUUAUGUGAUUGUUCAUGUAGAUUGCAUGGAAUUGUCUUCAUAUAGUCUCAUACUUUUAAAACAGGAAAAUUACAAGCAAAACACUUUUGGCUCUGACUUUUCUGAUGCAGUCAUUUGAAUUAAAAUUACAAAACUUUAAGGGUUCUGUGGACGCUUAUAAAUCACUUUGCACUUUUGAAUACUUGUAGUAAAUAAUAUGAUCCUGUGAUUCUAUGAUUAGCCUUAUUUAAAUUUAAAUUAAAAAAUCUUUUCUAGACAUACUACUCAUUCAUGAAAAAUCAGAAAGAGAUUUGGUAGUGUUAUUUAUUUGUAGUUAGUGGCCAAUAAUAGGAAACAACCAUUCAGAGUUGCUUUUUUGUAUAUUUGGGGUGUUAAUGAUGAGUUCAUUGGUUAGGGGUUAUGAAUGAAUAUAUUCUGGGCUUUAAUGUGAGUUUACUUUCUCCUGCUGAAUUCUGUUCAGAUUUCUGAAAAGCAUUUGCUCCUUCAAGUGAACCCCUGUAAAAGCACAGUCUCUGCUACAUGUGAAUAAGGUUGAAGGCAAAACUUGAUUUAAAAUUUUAUUUUUGUUCAAAACCAAAACCCAGAGGAGCAGAUUUUUUUAAGUGUAUGGGAACUGUUGAGUCACGGCCUGAACAUCUGAUUGAUCACCUGAAGCAAGCACUGAGUCAGCUGCGGGAGCACAGGUGAAGGCAAUUCACCUGUGUGACUGGAAGGGGUGGAGCCUGGCUGCACCUCUCCUAGACCCCAUUUGAGGGCUGACUGCCCCUGAGAAGGGAUCUCUUUCUGGAGAUUGCUCCUUGUGGAGUUUUUGUGAGCCUACAACACCGGUGAGCACCUUUCAUUUAUAUCUGAUUAACUUUUCUGAUGCGCUAAUCUUACGAAUGUAAUAUCUCUGUAUACUGUAUAACAUCUGUAUACUUAUUAACCAUACACUAGGUUUCUGUCAAAAAUGAGAGCAGUAAUGAAAAAACCUGGGUUACUUAGGUGUAUUUGAGAAAUUCACAGUGUAUUCAGGUAAGUUAAUAUAGUUUUUAUUUCAGUAGGUUUAAGCCUAGGUAUUCUAAGGGAAUCUUCACUAAGUUGAUCAUCUUCUAAAGAAACACUCUCAGUAGUAUCUCUAGAAUGAAAAUUCAUCUCUCUUAUCAGAUUUUCCAACAGAUAUUCAUCUGCAGAUCAAGAAGUAAAGUUAUUUUCUUGGCCUGCAAUUUAGACAAAUGCUAUGUACAGGCAAGGGCUGAAAGACUUGUGCUUUGAUUGUACUGGAGUUUGUUACCUUGAGGCCAUUCUCAAAAGGCUUGGAUUACCCUAGGGAAAUAGGGGUUCAAUAUAACUUAGUUUGUUAGGAUUAAGUCUGCCUGAUGUCAUGCAGACUGGGAAACACAGGUUACUAUUUCUUAUUUGUUUUCUGAAUGUGAUCUGAAUUUCCUUUUAAAUUUCUGAGUUUGAAACUAAAUUAUUGGUGUUUUUUUAGUAACAUCAUGAAAUUAAAAUCUCAAACUUUUGUUUUGGCCAUGUGUAUUAAGCGUUUAGCCUUUCAGGUAGUUGUGCAUGCCAAAGCACUUAUGCAGAUAUGAUGGGAAAAACAUCAGCUCUUGAGUAACCAAAACCUGUAUCAGUCAGGUGUCUCUUCCUUCCAAGAUUAGUGUUUCAUGUUUCUAUGUAAAGAACAACAUUCUUCCUGGAAUGCUCCCCCCCCCUAGGGGAGAAUAGCAAGGAGAAAUCUGGGAAAUUCAUGCGUGAGAUACUGGAAUGUCUUUUAAUUCAUUUGUCUUGAGGACAGUGCUAAAAUACACUGUGCUAAGAGUUCAAUGACUUUGAGAUCUGAGUUCCAGCUUGCCAGUGGUUUUACCAUUGCAAAACCUUGGAAAGUUGAAGAGGUUUUUUAUUGUUGUUGCUGUUCUGAUUUUAUUUCUCAGGUUUCGUGUUUUUCAUUUGAUCAGGGAAAACAAGUAUUACUCUUAUUCUCAAUAGUCUUAUAUUCCCUUACACUAUAUCAGCAUGAAGCCAUUAAUUGAUGUUGGCAUUACAAAAGGAGCCCUUUUCCUUUCCUGUGCUUGGAUCACCUGUGGAUUAUAGCCCUGCAGCUGCACUGUGCCCCUAAAAGUCCUUAAGCUGCUCUUAAUGUUUCCACAUGUAUGGAGUUUGGUUGUAGGAACAUUAAGCAUAAAUGCAUUAAAAAUAAUGUUUACAAUAGCAUGGUCUGUCACUCUUUUCUGUAAGUUUAGCAUAUAACAAUAUUCUCAUUCUGUUUUCCUAGCACUACUUCUGUAACAGGAUUUAUUGUAUUUUGAGAAUAAAAUCUGUUUUACAAACUUAAUAUCUUAUGAAUACUGUCAUAAAACAAGUAUUAUUUUAGUCUGAAUUGACCUUAAGCAUGUUGAAGUUGUUGUAAAAUCCUGUUCAAGCUUUCUCUUCUAUACUUCAGUCCAUUCAAAAAAACAGGGUGUUAGACUUCCAAGUACUGACAGAAGUGCUUGUUAAUUUCAUAGAAAACAUCCAAAAAGCUCAUGGAAUUUUUGCCUUGGGGAAGCAUUUGUUUUUCUUGUUUGAUCAAUUAAACACUGCUUUUCAGGGUGUAUUGUAACAUCAGGGAUGAGAAUAACCAGAAACACCAACAGGCUGCAAAAAGUUUGGGUCAAUCUCUGUGCUCAAGUUAUAUGUUUGGAGAGCUCAAGUGGUGAUGGGGGCACAAACUGAGAGGUCUUAUGCAUAAUUUUCCUUGAAACUACUCAUACUGAAGUGUUUUGAGGAGAUAAAAACAGCUUUCUUCUGAUGAUGUUGGUGUUGAAUGGCAAGGAAUAACAACAACAAAAAUCUGACUUCAAUAUAAGGGAAGGAAAUUUUAAAUAGAAAUGCUACAAAUAAGUUAUUGUGGUGCCAGAGAAAGCAUUAGGAAACUUUUCAGCUGAGAAGGAAUGGAUGUGAAGAGCACACAAAGUCUUGAGCUGAAUGAAAACGUAGUUAGAAUGAUCUGAUUCUGACAAAUUGAUUUUGACAGAACACAAUUUCAACAAUAUUCUGUGAAAUAUUUAAUGAUGCUUAUUAUUAUGUAUAGUAUUACAGUGUAUAUAAUGUACAAGUAUUAUAACUCAGAUAAAUUGUGUUCACUUUGUAUGUUUUAUUUCAAUGUUUGUAUUUUAGAUUUUUUUUUUACAAUAGUACAUAAAUGUUAAAAUGAUGUGAAGUUGCAGAGAAGCAUUUUUGUAAACCUGAAGUAAACUGUUGAUUUUCAUGUAUUUCAGUCUCGCAUAGAAGCAAUGAUUACAGAUUUUGAAAUCUUGGAGUUUCCUGUGAGGUAUAUCUCAGGUAGGAGAAACUCAACCCUGCACUCCCUAGCAGCCCUGUGGUUGCUGUGGGAGUGUAACUGAUGCGCCUCAUUAGAGUUUGAGAUUGUCAGAAAAAUACUCAAGCAUUUUAAAUGACGGUGCAGCAUUCAGAGGUCCAGCUCAAGAGAUGUGAACUACCCCACCACAGAAGCUUCCCAGGCAGCAUGGAAGGAAAUUUCUGGAUGACAUUUUGGCUCUACUGAGGUCGGCAGCUGUUUUGCUACUGGCUACAAUGAAGCCAGAAUUUAAUUCUCUUUCCCCAGAACAGAAACUAAGAAGCAGGGUUAAUACCUGGGUACGGAACUGAGGGAGUUUUAUGGUUUGGAUAUCAGGGACUUGUUCUUGGCUCAGAAUAUUAUGGGAUGAAACAAGGAUGGAAACAAUAGAAGAAAAAUCAAUGAUUAUUUGAUUGAUUCCCUGGUGCUUUGGAAAAGAUAGGAAAUUAUGAUCAGCGGUAGCUCAUAUGUGACCUUACGGCAAGAUUUACAAGAGCCCUCCCACACAUGACAUUGAGAGAAUGCAUUUGACAACUUUUGCUCUCAUUAAAACAAAAUAAAACAUAUCCAUGAGCAAAUUCAGAAAGGUCAAUUUUGAAAGGAGAAAGUUUAAGAGCAGCAAACAUUUGCUCUCAGAAGACAAACAUUUAAGUGCCCUAAAACGCAGGACACCCUGAGAAAUUCCAAUACUACAUGCAGCGAUGAAAAUUGCUGCAUUCUCAGCAACAUGAUGAAGUGUAUUAGGUUAUAGGUAUAAGAAUGCGACAUUGGUAUGGCAUUCAAAGGAACUUAGAAGUUACAGUUUGUAUCCAGUCUGUGAAGUUUUAGAAGUAUGGAAAGAGUAAACAGAAUUCCCAUUUAGUGAAGGUAUACAUGAAAAUAUACAUUCUAGCAAGCAACACUGUUACACUUGUCUAGUCAAGUGGGCAGACCACAAACCAAUUCAGAGAUGCAAAGCAUGAGAAAUUAUGUACUAUGUUUGUAAUAAUGAUGUAAUAAUGUACAAACUUCUAUUACAGAUGUUAGCUUUUUUCUUUUUUCUUUUUUUUUAGUCAAAUAUUGUUAUUCAUAGAGAUAAUGUAUAAGCUAAAAGUGUCCUGGCCCUACAAAAUGUAAAGAUGGCUUCUAGGAAACUGCAUGGGUAUCAGAGCCCAUCAUCUCUUAUGGGAUGGCUCAUCCAGUGGAAUGCAGUGCCGUUCUUCUCAUUGGAUCAUAAAUAUUGUUUACUCUGAGAAUUACAGGAAGCUUCUUUACCUUAGCAUUCUCCCACGUUAAUAUCAGGCUAAUCUCUCUGAUAUGUCCUUGUGUUACCUGUAACGACUGACAGUCAGCAACGUCUUCUGGGUCUCCCAUCUAUGGUUUCUGGCUGAUAUUUUUUCCUGUGAAAUAAAUCAGGGAGUCAAAUUUCAGCACUGUCCCCUCGUUCAGUUGUUACGGUACAAUUUUAUACUCCUUAUGUUGCAUUGCAACUUUGGGGGGAUUUUACCUAUGUUUUGAGUCAUUUGAUCAACAAAUGAUAAAUUGAUAUGAUCUGCAGAUACUUUCAGUCUAACGUGUCACAAUAACUAUGGCUAAUUAUUUAAAUUGAUAGCAAACAACUUUAUAGGACUUAUUUUCCGUGAAUUUGUUUUUAAAUGAUACAUAAUUAUCUUAGACUGGGAUAAGUGGUUAACUGACAAGCAAAUUCAUUGAGACAAAUGUCUCAAACCAUGAUCUCUUUUCUAGGAAAGGAAAUGCUACAGUAAAGCUAGUAGUGGUUGUAUAAGCAUUUUAUGGACCAAAGAUUCUAGAUAGGAAAGUUUCAGCAUCAGUGAUUCAUACAUGAAGUUGCAUGCUAGCAGGCUGUGUUGCUUGUACUGUGAAACUGGAAUAUUUGUUUUGGAAAGGCACAAAUCCUGAAGCUGUAAUCACUCAGCCACUUCUUUGGUUACCUAGUUGUUUCUAGCACUAAAAUGCUAUUUUUUUUUUUUUUUCUGUACUUGUAUGCAUGACUUGUUAAUGGCAAAUUAUGAUUACUCCAAAUUUGUAUUUAAAGAUUUAUAUAUUUGUAGGGGCACAGGUGACAUUUAAUCAGAGAAGGAAGCAAUUGGAGUUUCUCAUUCUCUGCCUACCAAAUCUUGAUGCUACCCAGCUGCAAGAGCCUCUUACCAUUUCCCUUGCCCCACAGCAACAAAUGAGCCCAUUAGGUAAUUUUUCCUGUUAAAAUAACCAGCUGACAUCCUCACAUUUUAAAAAGAGAGUCCAUUUUGUCAAGGGACUGCAUCCACAAUACACAAUGGAAGUGAGUUUAGGGGAGACUUCAGUAAAAAGGAGACUGCGCUGUGUAGAGGGAUAGUCCCGAUGAGAUUAAAUGGAGAUGAGAGCAUGAAGGUUGUCUCAGUGUAAAUAUGAACAUAUGAGAAAAGACUGUGGAUGGCACCAAGUUGUACCAGAUGACAAGAGGAAAACAUGACUGGGACAAUAGUGUUACCAACUUCAAAUCUUUUGGAAAAAAAUAGAAUGGAUGUGAUGAGAGAGAGAGUGUGGAAAGAUGUCUGAUGGUGUGCUACUGAAUGAGUGUGUGGGAGGGUCUAAUUGUUUUUAAUUUGUACUAAUGAUGUUGUUUUAAGAGUGACUUAGUGGCAUCAGGUUCCUUCCCGAGCCAAAAGGAAGGAGAGAGUCCCUCCUGCAGCCCAUCAUUUCCCAUAGUGGCUUGUGGGAUCUGUGGGAUGCAGAGAGUUGCUAUCCCAGGUAAGAUGCUCAAGAUGAGACCCUCAGAGGCAUCACAGCAGCCUGCCUUCAGAACAGACAGUAAGCUGCAGCAUCUCACUGUGCCAGAACUGUGACCAUACAUCUCCGAAGUAACAUUGGCCUCCCUAGGUGAGCUGGACUGCCAGCAUGGUCACAGUCAUCCCAAUGGAUUGUCACUGGUGGGUGGUCCUUAGAGCACCACUGGGCUCUGCCCUCCUGGCCCAGGCUUUGCUCCCCUAAAGCAGGAAAAUCGGGUGGCUAUGGGUGUUCUGCAACUCCUGAGAAAUACUCUCCCAAUUUUGGAUAGGUCAUCACUAUGCUUUAAUUAGAAAUGGUAUUGUUUGAAGAACUCUGCAAGAUGUUAUCCAUGGCUGAUAGUAUCAAGUAUCAAGUAUCUAGUAUCAAGAAACUAGAGAGUUAUGAGACUGGCCCUUACAUAAGGAUUUUUUCAUCGGUCCCUUUGCAAUCCUGUGCCUUCAGAGAGUAAUGGUGCUUGUUGUUACUAUUUUUUAUUAAAUUCAAUGCAACCUAUUUCAGAGUGCAAUCUGUUUUUCAAUUUCUGGUGUGGCACCAUUAUUUGUACUAAAGAAAAUUUCAAUAUAUUGUAAAAAUUAUUAUAAAAAUAUUAUAAAGUAAAUUAUUAAAGAAUGAAUUAUUAGACUUUCUUACAUAGUAUUUUAAUAAAUAAUUAAUGAUUGCAAAAUAUUGCAUGUGAAUACUUUUGCAUCUGGCUGGAGGGGGAUGGCAAGGAUUUUUAGCAGCAAUGAAAAAUUUGAGUUGGUGAUUUUUGUAGGAAAACUGAGGAUUUUUUUUUUUAUAGAAACCUCACAGUACUUCAGUUUAGACACAGUUUUGAGGUGAAGAUCUACAACAGCUGUCAGAAUUGGUU